AGCACCUUGAGGUGACUGUUGUUGUGAUUUGGCGCUGUACAAAUAAAAUUGAAUUGAAUUGAAUUGAAUGUUUGAUCCCCAUGGCCAACGCUCUGUUGGUGAUCUAAACAGUUCAUUGAGGUAUCACAAAUAUUUGACAGCGAAAGGGUUUUUUUUUUAUGUUAAAAGGCAGUUAAAACUACUAUUAUUUGAAAUACAGGGUUUAAAAAAAAGUUUGUGUUUGUGAGGUCAGUUCAGUUUGGUGAGCAGGAUUCUCCCAACGCUUUUCUGUCUGCCCUCACAGACAGCUGCACGAGAACAUCUGCCCACCAGUUCUGGUGCACAUCAAGGCUUUUUCACCUCUUUGCUGACAAAAUGUUAUAAACACUGUGCAUUUACGUUAAAUCCAACCAGAACAAUAUGUAUUCAUGACCUUAUUAUAACUCCAUCAAACAUCACAUAGACUGUCGUGUGACGUAGUUUAAGGAAAUUCCAGAUGCUUACUCUCACGAAAUUCUUCAAUAACUCAAAGUUUUCUUAUCCACCAUCACCACAGACAUUAAUCCUGCUCUCCAGUCUUGUCAUAUUUGUUUAUGUCUUCAGUCUGCUCCUAAUCCAUCUCCAUUUCCUUUCCCCCUCAGCUGUGCAUUUCUGCCCUCCUGCUUUAUUUCAGGGGUUAUUGAUGUUUACAGAACCUGUUGCUUUAGUCUGCUAGGUGGCUGUUUUUUCAGACUGUGCCAUCUCUGUAACUCCAACGAGAACAGAAACCAAUCCAGGAGGAGCUCGGGAUGCUUCCAAAACAAUGAAGAGGUCUGACCCUGUGUGUAUCCUGAGUCUGCUCCGGGUCUGUACUGGGUCUGGGCCUCUCCAACUCGGGUCUCACAUUGCAGGUGUUCAGGAGGAGCAUUACGUCUACCCUAAGCUCCUUCUGAGUUACAGAAAUCCUCAUCCCUGUGUGAAUCAUCACCUUACUGCGCUGGAGGGAUUUAUGCUCAUGUGAUCUCAGGAAAUAUGUUGUUAAGGGCAAAGCAAAUUGGUCCUCCUUUAGGGAUCAGACUAAGUGAAGGGGACACCAAGAACCUUUCCUGGAUCUGCAACACUGACCUCAUCCUGGAGCCAGGCCUGAAGGAUGGGGCUCAGGCGCUAAGCCAUGAGGCCUGACUGGGCUCAGCCCGAGUGAGUUACAUGCAUCCACCCUCCAUCUGCAGGAGGUGGCACGCAUAGGCAGAUGCUUUGUCAGUUCAAUCCCAGGCUUGUAUGCUCUUUACUCUGAAAACAUCAGUGUAAAUGUUCUUAAAGUCAGUCACUUUUGUAUAGCCCAAAGCGAACACAAAUGCAAAUAAGGAAUACAAUAAGACAAUAACGUGUUUAACAGAAUCUCACCCAGACACGCUUCAGCGUGAAAGUGAGGAAAACAUGUUGAAGCACAAAAUCUCAACAAUUCAGCAUAAAAUGGUUCAUGGGUGGAAAAAAAAGCAGAUUAAUCACAGAAAUAAACCUCCAUCACUUUGAUUCAAGUCAAGAUGGGAUAAUAAUAAUGUUGGACAAAGUCAACCCAGUGCCCUCAGAAAAUAACUGAAGGAUUAGACGUCAAAGGAGGUGGACUAGAUUUCCUGGAAGGAUUUCACAUCAAAGGCAGGAGCUGGCAGAGAGUAAAAGACAACAUGGAUCAAAACAGCAGCAUCGGAUGGUUGCCUAACACCUUCAAACUACAAAGCAUCCAUGAACCCCAGCAAGUACCUCUCAAAGUCUUCUUUAAAGGGAAAAGCAAGUCAAAUACUUAAUAGGCUUUAUGUUUAUGAAAUGUAAAGUGAACUAAAGCUGGAGGAUCAUGAAACAGAGACAUCCACGCUCCGCUCCACGACAUCCAUGUUAUUAUGGCUUCCCGUCUCCCUCCACUUUGCUUUUUUUUUUCUCUGGAUGAAACUCGUCGUCCAUGAGGGAAAAACAUCGAAACGCUGACAUGUGUGUGGUUGUAAAUGUGUAAAACAGCAGCUGUUUUGCAUCAUACACACAAUUAUGAGGGAGAAAGUCCUUCUCACACCAACUUGUGUGAGAUAUGCUGUAUGAAUGUUAGCCUUAACAAUAUUUUGUGUUGUGAAUAAAAACACAAAACACUGUUUUGUGAACAAAUUUCAGCUUCUGGAAAAUGUAAGUAGCUACAGUGAAAACAUCAGACUCGUAUCAUUGACUCACGUUCUACUAAAAACUGAUGUUUGUCUUGAAUAUUCUUUAGAAAAUUAGAAAGUCCAGAGUUAGUUCACUGAAACACAAAAGCAUGCACAAUUUGUGAUGUCAAAAAGUAAAGCUAGAGAGGUAAAACAUUUUUUUUUUUACAUUAAAAGCAAUAAUUAAGUAUAAUCAGUCAUAAAAACAAAUCACAGAGAUCUUUGAUUAAUUUGAUUGAUUAGAAAUGAUCAACUUUAAAUGUUCAUGUGAAAAAGAAGGAACAUCCUCUUUACAUUCUAAGGGUCCCCCCCCCAAAAAACAACCAAAAAACAAAAAGCAAACAAAAAAAACAUCUGGUCCUGAGCAGAUUCAAUAUUUGUUUAACAAAAAUGAAGACAAAUUGCAGAAGCAGCAGGUGAAAAUCGAAGACGACCCCUGGAUUCAGUCGCUUGUAGAAACUCUUUAGCAGCACAAACUUGAAACAGUUGUUCCCUGCGUGACUUUAUCAGUCUUUCACAUUGCUGUGGAGGAAUUUGUAGUUUGCUUCAGUUUGCAGGCAUCUGUUUAUGCACAGCUCUCUUAGCAUUUCAGUCGGUUAUAGUCUGGACUUUGAUUAAGGCCGUUGCAGAAACUUUCUUAAUUUUUCAGCUAUUCUGUUGGACAUUUGCUGCUGUGCUUAAGAUCAUUAACUUGUUGUGUGACCCAGUUUGGGCCAAAGCUUCACUGUGAGACAGAAGGCAUCACGGUUGACUCUAACGUGCUUUGUUAUGCAGAGGACUUCACGGUCCACUUAAUGACUGCCAGAGCUCAACUCAUCACUCCCACCUCCGUGCUGACAGUGUGAGGUGUUUGACUUUCUCCAAAUCUGGUGCUGUGCGUUACGGCCAAACAUCUCCACUUUGGACUUGUCUGUCAACAGGACAUCGUUCAGAUGCAACUUUGACUAAACGUAAGCUGUGCUGCCAUGUUCGGUUUCUCCCAGCAACCCUUCCAAACAAAACACACUUGUUUGGGCUUUUUGUAAUUGUAAUGUCAUGACCUUUAAAAAUUUGCACGCUAACUGAGGUCUGUAGAGUCUUUUUGCUUUUUUGCACUUGCAGAGUCUGACCUUGGGGUGAAUUUCCUGGGAUUUCCAUUAAUGGGAAUACUGGGAAAGGUCUCUAAUAUUUUCCACUUUUGAAUAACCUUCCUCACCAUGUACUGGACUUCAAAUUAUUUAGAAAUAUCCUUACACCCAUUAGUGAUGGACAGCAACACUGCUGAAGGUAAAGAGGCUAAAGGUGACAAAUACGAGCUCUGAGAACAAUCACAAGUUAUACAGCAACCAAGUUUAGUUUUCCAGAAAGCAGUUAAGGAUUCCCAGUAAAGUGGGGGGAAAAGGGACAAUACAAGCACCCUAACACAUCUUCCCUACGACCAUUGACAAUGUUUCUGUGCCUUUGAGAAAUGGUGCACACGUGUGACUCUGAUUCUAAACAGCACUUUUCAUGACUUGGGCAUGGACAGGAUGAAGGCAUCUCUGCUCGGGACUCCAAUGUGCUGCUCGAGGACUGACAGUGUGACCUGGAGGAGUGUGACAGGCAAAAAAGGCUUGCUUGAUCUGAAGCCAAGUGGUCAUCUGUUGUUGGACUUUAGUGCUAAACAACAGUUUGUUCAUAAAGAAAAACACUGUAUUUGAGCAUAAGGGUUUGCAUAAGUGCAUUUUGCAGCAGGAGGUUCUAGACUGGUGGUCUGUGAGAGACCUACAGAGAGAUCAUGUCCCACAGCUUGUUUGGGAAUGCCUCUGGAGGAGGUGGCUGGGGAGAGUGAAGUCCCACCUUCUUUGUUUAGACUUCUGCCCUAGAUAAGUAACAGAAGAUGGAUGGAUGGACUUUUUCAGGGCAAGAACAUUUAAAUACCUAGAAUAUCUUCUUGUAGCUUUGCAUUACAAUUUCUACUGAACUAUCUGAAAGAAUAGCCCACCCUACCUUGUUCAAAUAACAAUGUGGCAACUGAUGCGCAAAUCAUUUUAAAUAAACUUUCAGCAUUUCAUUGAAGCAUAUUAAAAAAACCUCAAAUGGUCUAAUCUAAUAGGCUAGUAAGUGUUUUCUGCAGCUCUGUGCAGCUUCUUGGACCUUUGGAUUCAUUCUUUUGAUUUUAUGACUCAUUUGAUUCUGUCUAAUGAAACCUGAACCAGCAGCUGAAAGUCAAAUGAUUCUUUAUCAGACAAGGGCAAGUAAACCAACUGAAUCCACUGAAGCAUACAUCCAAUUACUAAAAAAGUUAGCAAAACUGGAGUUUAAUGGAAUAUAAUAUAAUGAAAAUAAUGGUCCAAGAAAAAUACAACGGUAUAGCCCAGGGCUGGACUGGGACAAAAAAUCGGCCCGGGCAUUUUGACUAGAGACCGGCCCACCAGAUAUUAUAGGAAAAAACCAUAAAGUCUUUGAAUAAAAACAAACGCUGUUGUCACAGUGAUGUAU